GAUCUUCCUGGUCUUCUUCACCACUGGCACAGAGCGCUCCUUCACCUUUAGGACUGUAGAGGGCGCCAUUUCUCCUCCUGACUCAACAAGGCCAACUUCUUCAUACAGGAACUGACCUGGAGAAGCAGUUACAGUCACAUUGGACUUCCCAAUGAUGGCCACCGUCAAUACACCACUGGUCACUGUGACAGUGGAAUGACAGGCCAAAACCAUGCGGUCUUUUCCAUCCAGAAUCACCUUUUUAGGAGUCACUUCGAUGUAAGCUCGUCUGGGGUGGUCCACUACAAUUGUUAUGGUGUUGAAAUAUGUACGCUGUUGCUUGUGACUGCCUGGAGGCGCAGGAGCACCAAGGAGCUUUCCAUUUACUGUCACACCUUGAAAGUAGACAAUAGAAUUCAACAUUCUUUGCACAGAUAUUGCUGCUGUUUAUUUAUUUUACCAGGUAAACAUAAGACAUGCAGCUCUCAUUUUAAUCAUGAACUAAGGAUUAUAGAUAAAAGUAUGUAAUUCUGUGUUCUUUUUGCAGUGCUAGUUGUGCAAGGAUGUAUGGUUCAAUUUGUAAGGAAAACAUACCAGAAUUCUUGUGGUCCGAGACCAGACUCAAGAUGUGUCCGGGCUCACCAUUAAUGUUAAAGCACACCGUCAGUUUGCUUAGUGGAAUCUCAACCACAAAGUGGGGGUCACCAUCAGCUAAGAGUGCACAAAGGAGAGAUAUGUGUAAUAAAAUAGAUGUCUAUUUAAAAAUGUGAACAGGUAAACACAACCUUAAACAAGUGAAGUGUAGUACAGACUAGAGCAAAUCUGAAAAUUGAGACAAACCAGUCCUUACUUGUUACCAAAUUCUUAAUUUGUAUGAUUUUCAGGGGCUUGUGAGAACCAAGAGAAUUGAAAAGAGAAGUGAUGAGGUGAGAAAUGAUAGAGCAGGUGUAAUAACAGGGUCAUUAGCCUUUGCUAACUACCUCAGAUGGGGUGCUUCUUGUCGCUGUAACACAAACGUGGUCCCUGUGCACUGUACACCAUGUGUAAACUACCACUUUGUGUCUUUAGGUAUUUCAAUUAGACCUUGUGUGUUCUUCCUUUUUCCAGGUCAUGUUCAGAGCCAUCCUUGAGCUGUUUGUUCACACUGACUGUGUGAUCACCUUGUCUACUCGACAAGCCUUAAAAUUACAGACCUUCAACUAAAAGGAAAAAUUCCCCCUAUCACACUUUAUCAUGUAGCUGUAUUUUCACAAGAGAGAAAUAACAUUCAACACACCUGAUGUUUUUGAGAUACUGAUUGGCUUCUUGGAUGGAACUUUACCUGCAAGCAUAGAAAAAAGCAAAAAGCAAUAAAUAAAUAAAUAAAACAGCUUUAGUUGUCAAGAAGCGCCCCUGUUUUCAGUUAACCACAUAUAAAAAAGCAAGGGCUCACCAACUGUGCUGCUCUGGUGAGAAGAGCCAGUAGACCUCUGGUCAGAUUUCUGGGGCUGUCCUUCCUCUGUGUUCUCUGGCAGGCUAUUGGCAGCUGAAUCUCCUCCCAGAGGAGCUGGGGAGACAGUGGGUGCUGGUGCCAUGGUUCCAUCAGCCAGGACCUCAGGCUUCUCCACCACCAGUCUUGAUCGAAGACCAUCUUUAACACUGAGAAAUCCCCAUACACGUUCAGCAAAGUCCUCCGCAAUGGCUCCCAGAGCAACAUCC